rnacentral:rRNA from 1 species
AACGAACGCUGGUGGCAUGCUUAACACAUGCAAGUCGAACGGAACCUUUCGGGGUUUAGUGGCGCACGGGUGAGUAAUACAUGGGUAACCUACCCUGGAGUGGGGGAUAGCUACGGGAAACUGUAGGUAAUACCGCAUACGCACACAUCGUACUUCGGUGUGUGGAAACGUUUUUGGCUCUAGGAUGGGCUCAUGGCCUAUUAGCUUGUUGGUGAGGUAACGGCUCACCAAGGCGAAGAUGGGUAGCUGGUCUGAGAGGACGAUCAGCCACACUGGAACUGAGACACGGUCCAG